UACGGAGGGUGCGAGCGUUGUCCGGAAUCACUGGGCGUAAAGCGCACGUAGGCGGCUUUUUAAGUCAGAGGGGAAAUCCUGGAGCUCAACUCCAGAACUGCCUUUGAUACUGGAGAGCUUGAGUCCGGGAGAGGUGAGUGGAACUGCGAGUGUAGAGGUGAAAUUCGUAGAUAUUCGCAAGAACACCAGUGGCGAAGGCGGCUCACUGGCCCGGUACUGACGCUGAGGCGCGAAAGCGUGGGGAGCGAACAGG
rnacentral:rRNA from 1 species